GACGAACGCUGGCGGCGUGCUUAACACAUGCAAGUCGAACGGUGAAGCGCCUUCCUUUUUGGUGGGUGUGGAUGAGUGGCGAACGGGUGAGUAACACGUGAGUAACCUGCCCCUUCUUCUGGAUAACCGCAUGAAAGUGUGGCUAAUACGGGAUAUUCUGGGUCUGUCGCAUGAUGGGUCUGGGAAAGAUAUUGUUUCGGUGGGGGAUGGGCUCGCGGCCUAUCAGCUUGUUGGUGGGGUGAUGGCCUACCAAGGCGGUGACGGGUAGCCGGCCUGAGAGGGUGGACGGUCACACUGGGACUGAGACACGGCCCAGACUCCUACGGGAGGCAGCAGUGGGGAAUAUUGCACAAUGGGCGCAAGCCUAAUGCAGCGACGCCGCGUGAGGGAUGGAGGCCUUCGGGUUGUGAACCUCUUUCGCCAGUGAAGCAGGCCUGCCUCGUUUGUGGGUGGGUUGACGGUAGCUGGAUAAGAAGCGCCGGCUAACUACGUG
rnacentral:rRNA from 1 species